GGCUCCGGAGCAAACAUGUUGCGUAUAUAGCAGUCACCGCCGGCGCUUAGCAGACGGUGCAGUCGACGGUAUGGCAAGGACCACGGGUACUGCUGUCAGAGUGGAGGCGCUGGUGUUGGCCGCGAUGGUGGUGGUCGUGGCUCUGACGACGCCGGCGACCUGCCAGCGGUCUGGCGCCAAUCCAGGACGAGUGCGGUGCCCGGUCUGCAGGCCAGUGGAGCGGCGCCAGUGCGCCUCGCUCGGGGGCGUUGUCGUCGUGCCUGGCGGGGUCUGCGGCAAGUGCCCCGUCUGCAGGCUCGUCGGCUAGCAGCGUGGCAAGCCUUCACUGGCGCUAGUGUCAACAUUCCGCUCUUCAACCACACACAGUGAACCUGAGAUGAAACGGCUCUGCACAGGGUGGUCCAAGGAGCACGAAAGAGAAGAACAGUAACAUCUCAGCUACAAAGAAAAUAUUGCCCAGGCUGACUGAUUGUAGUAAAAACAUUAAUAAACCUGUUUUGUGCAACUCUA